UGCCUCAUGCUUAUCACAGGCUGUGUUCUUAGGCUGACUUUAUGCAGAAAAGAGGCAGAGUAAACCUACUACUGUUCACAUAAGCCCAGGCCAUUAUGCCUAGACUGUAUUGUGAGUGAUGAUACAUGG